UGGGCGUUAAGUUGCAGGGUAUAGACCCGAAACCCGGUGAUCUAGCCAUGGGCAGGUUGAAGGUUGGGUAACACUAACUGGAGGACCGAACCGACUAAUGUUGAAAAAUUAGCGGAUGACCUGUGGCUGGGGGUGAAAGGCCAAUCAAACCGGGAGAUAGCUGGUUCUCCCCGAAAGCUAUUUAGGUAGCGCCUCGUGAAUUCAUCUCCGGGGGUAGAGCACUGUUUCGGCUAGGGGGCCAUCCCGGCUUACCAACCCGAUGCAAACUGCGAAUACCGGAGAAUGUUAUCACGGGAGACACACGGCGGGUGCUAACGUCCGUCGUGAAGAGGGAAACAACCCAGACCGCCAGCUAAGGUCCCAAAGUCAUGGUUAAGUGGGAAACGAUGUGGGAAGGCCCAGACAGCCAGGAUGUUGGCUUAGAAGCAGCCAUCAUUUAAAGAAAGCGUAAUAGCUCACUGGUCGAGUCGGCCUGCGCGGAAGAUGUAACGGGGCUAAACCAUGCACCGAAGCUGCGGCAGCGAACGUAUCACUUAAAGCGAUUCAGCGGGUUACGAUUGACGGAGCGAAGCGACGUCAAAGCGUAUACAAAGUCGAGUCGGUUUAAGGAUACGUUCGUUGGGUAGGGGAGCGUUCUGUAAGCCUGUGAAGGUGGCCUGUGAGGGUUGCUGGAGGUAUCAGAAGUGCGAAUGCUGACAUAAGUAACGAUAAAGCGGGUGAAAAGCCCGCUCGCCGGAAGACCAAGGGUUCCUGUCCAACGUUAAUCGGGGCAGGGUGAGUCGACCCCUAAGGCGAGGCCGA
rnacentral:rRNA from 1 species